rnacentral:piRNA from 1 species
UGUCUUUGGCAGGCAAGAUUGACAGUGCCAU